GACGUAGGGUGCGAGCGUUGUCCGGAUUUAUUGGGCGUAAAGAGCUCGUAGGCGGCUCGUCGCGUCGACCGUGAAAACCCGCGGCUUAACUGCGGGCUUGCGGUUGAUACGGGCGGGCUAGAGUUCGGUAGGGGAGACUGGAAUUCCUGGUGUAGCGGUGAAAUGCGCAGAUAUCAGGAGGAACACCGGUGGCGAAGGCGGAUCUCUGGGCCGAUACUGACGCUGAGGAGCGAAAAGCGUGG
rnacentral:rRNA from 1 species